rnacentral:rRNA from 1 species
UACGUAGGCAGCAAGCGUUGUUCGGAGUUACUGGGCGUAAAGGGUGCGUAGGCGGCUUUUUUAAGUUUGGUGUGAAAUCUCCCGGCUCAACUGGGAGGGUGCGCCGAAUACUGAGAGGCUAGAGUGCGGGAGAGGAAAGUGGAAUUCCUGGUGUAGCGGUGAAAUGCGUAGAUAUCAGGAGGAACACCGGUGGUGUAAACGGCUUUCUGGACCGUAACUGACGCUGAGGCACGAAAGCGUGGGUAGCAAACAGG